AAACAAAGCUUGAUAGAGGACUAGGCCAACCGUGAUAUUUGUAAUUGGGACUAGCUGUCAUUGUCACAAUGAUUUAUGGCAUUAUUAGCGAACAAUUAGGUGACAUAUUAGGGUGGUCUUCUUUGUGUACAUUGGGUUUUGUUUGAAAGUUGUUUUUGUUUAUUUUUUGCUUCUUGGGAAAGACAUGGAGAAUUAGAGUUAAAGACAGUGUAGACAUAGGCAGGCCACAAACGAAAGAAAAGAAACACUUUUUAAAAUUUCUUAUUUUCUUGUUAUUUUUACCUAACAGUCUAUAAUGUUUCAGUCACACUAGAGUAAAAAUAGGAAAAAACAGUAGUUGCCCAAUGUUUGCACUGAAUUUGUCAAAGACUGAUUGCUGAAAGUAGCUGUGGUAAACAUUUACAAUUGCAAGGCGAUUGGACAGGUCGCCUGGUGGAAGGAAACCUGUCUGCAAAUAUCUCAAUGGUCAGUGGUGGUCAGUGGUAACUUUAUUGUCCCCAGUGGGAAAUUGAUUUGCAGUCUGUCCAUACAGAGACACAAAAACAACCAAACACAAUAUACACACAAAAACAAAAAACAAUAAAACUAAAAAAACACAAAAACACUAAAAGUUUGCAAAUAAUAGCAGUCAAUUUUCUAAACGCAGACAGACUGCCAAAAAUCAACCUUCGUCAGUCUGCACUAAUGACUGCAACUUAUCUAUUAUGCAUCUCUUUGCAAUAGGGGACUCAACUCAGCUGGUGUCCAGCUGGCUGUGUACUGGUUCAAUUCCUAUACAAUAAAGUUGCCGAGCAUCUGUGUUGACACCGUGUUCAUACUCUGCAGUUCAAGCAGGAUCGUGCAGCAAAUAUAUCGGUAUUUUUGGACUUUGCUGGCCGGCGUGGCUGGACUUUAAAUUUAAGCGUUUAAUGUGAAUUUCUGUGUAUGUAGACUGUAUGUAUUUGCCAUUGAUAGCAGUCUGAUUCCAUCUUAUUGCUGAUUUAUCACCAUUUUAAAGCUUUGAAGACAGCAGCUGACUGCCAGUGCCUCGUUCCCAUCUUUGAAGCAACCAUUUCCAAGGCACACAGUUAAAAUAAUUUUGGUCAUGCUGUGGCUUAUAACCACUGUUUUUCCUAGUGUGACUGCAGCAUAAUGUUAAUGAAAGUUUAAAUUUUUGUUUAAAUGUUGUGCUAUUACCUCUGCCCAUUGUAUAUCCCUAUAAUGAGCAUAGAAUUGGGAAGCUUUCAUGUAAUCUCUUUGCUGUGGAUGAUUGCAAUACUUGUUUAGCUUCCUUUUUAACAACUAGUACUUACUUUAAUACAACGAGGGUUUAAUCUCUAAUUCUAAUUUCUAUUAACCAUACUAAACUUAAUAUAAUAUUUUUUUUUAAUUUUUUUCUGUCAGUAAGUUUGGGUGAGACAAUGUGCACGUUGAAGUUAAAUAGAAAAAGAAAAAACUAUAUGCCAUCGGAAUUUAUUUGUCGCUCCUUUGAGACAACAUAAAACGCUUCACUUCUUUGAACCUUAAUAAGGUAGGCUGGAGCUGGAUACUUCCUUGAUGGGGCUUUCUUAGACUUGAGAGAAACAGCA
ensembl:lncRNA